rnacentral:rRNA from 1 species
UGGGGAAUUGUUCGCAAUGGGCGCAAGCCUGACGACGCAACGCCGCGUGGAGGAUGAAGAUCUUCGGGUCGUAAACUCCUUUCGAUCGGGACGAAUGGCCGGUGACCUAAUACGUCACUGGAGUGACGGUACCGAGAGAAGAAGCCCCGGCUAACUCCGUGCCAGCAGCCGCGGUAAUACGUAGGGACCAAGCGUUGUUCGGAUUUACUGGGCGUAAAGGGCGCGUAGGCGGCUCUGUAAGUCACUUGUGAAAUCUCUGAGCUUAACUCAGAACGGCCAAGUGAUACUGCAGUGCUAGAGUGCAGAAGGGGCAAUCGGAAUUCUUGGUGUAGCGGUGAAAUGCGUAGAUAUCAAGAGGAACACCAGAGGCGAAGGCGGAUUGCUAGGCUGACACUGACGCUGAGGCGCGAAAGCCAGGGGAGCAA